GUUGGAGACACAUGCCUUGGUGUUGUACCUUCCUAGGCCACCAAUGCUGAUCCCAUGGCCUGGUCCACAGUUCACGUUGUGUAUGUUUACGUCGCUGCAGCCUGUCUGUAUGGAGAUGCAGUCAUCACCUGCAUUGCACAAGGUGUAUUCCAUCAGUGUUGGGGCUAUUCUCAGGGGAAGAGAUGGUGAGGUUAUGAACCAUGACUCCCUGACAGCUAUCGAACUUCAGAUGGCACUGCGGGCUGUUGAUGAUGCUGAUACCAGUUACUCUGACAUUGGAACUGCCAUAAAACCUUAGCGCCUGCAUAGCAGAGUACGCAACCACUCGCUACUUAAUUUGGUCUGAUAUGCAACUUCAAAGAUAUUCAAGUUCUGCAAUAGUGACUUAAUAAUGUGCUUACCGUGGGUUUAAUCUGUGGCAUCUUCUCCAGCUCCUGAUCAGUGUACUGUUGGAAGCAUCCAAAGUGCAAAUGUUCUUUAUUUGGAAGCAGAGUAUUUUCAGAGGUAGUGCUGGUGGUUACCUGAGUAUCAUCCGUAACUCCGUCACCCCGCGCUCCGAAAGCAACCACGCUGAACACCAUGCCCUGCGACGGCUCUUCCGG